UCCGUAGGUGAACCUGCGGACGGAUCAUUA
rnacentral:ncRNA from 2 species